GGUUGAGUCCCGUGCGAUUUCAUGGCGUGAAUCCUGUCAGGACCGGAAGGUAGCAGCAGUAAGCGCUUUCUGGGAUGUGCUGCGGGGCAGCUCGGCCGGA
rnacentral:SRP_RNA from 1 species